rnacentral:sRNA from 1 species
GUUCUUCUGGGUAACCAAGAGGAAGUUGGAGGUGCCGACGGGACCUGAAGUGCAGACCCCUAAGGUUUGGUCCUUGUUUUUCAAGGUGGCUGGGAUGAGCCCUUGGGCGCCUCAGGUGCCUGUAUCACCCACUCCUCCCUACCAAAGGGGGCAUUUUCCUACAGCCUUCAGACGCUGACUGGGACGACCUGUGGGACCAGUUUGAUGAGCGGCGGUAUCUGAAUGCCAAAAAGUGGCGCGUUGGUGACGACCCCUAUAAGCUGUAUGCUUUCAACCAGCGAGAGAGUGAGCGGAUCUCCAGCAAUCGGGCCGUCCCGGACACUCGCCAUCUGAGAUGCACGCUGCUGGUGUAUUGCACGGACCUUCCACCCACUAGCAUCAUCAUCACCUUCCACAACGAGGCCCGCUCCACGCUGCUCAGGACCAUCCGCAGCGUAAUAAACCGCACCCCUACGCAUCUGAUCCGGGAAAUCAUAUUAGUGGAUGACUUCAGCAAUGACCCUGAUGACUGUAAACAGCUCAUCAAGUUGCCCAAGGUGAAAUGCUUGCG